UACGAAGGGGGCUAGCGUUGCUCGGAAUCACUGGGCGUAAAGCGCACGUAGGCGGCUUUUUAAGUCAGAGGUGAAAUCCUGGAGCUCAACUCCAGAACUGCCUUUGAUACUGGAGAGCUUGAGUCCGGGAGAGGUGAGUGGAACUGCGAGUGUAGAGGUGGAAUUCGUAGAUAUUAGGAAGAACACCAGUGGCGAAGGCGACUCACUGGUCCGGUACUGACGCUGAGGUGCGAAAGCGUGGGGAGCAAACAGG
rnacentral:rRNA from 1 species